UCACAUGGAUAAUUGCCUUUUCACUAUU
rnacentral:sRNA from 1 species